GGUCCAGCAGCUCAGAUGAGAUAAUUCGGAAUCAAGGGAGGGACGUUCCAAUUAGAGGACAUAGCUUUUGGGCUGUGGUUUGAAACAGACUACUGAAGGAGAGGAAGAGGGGCAGAGGUACAGAAAGGCAGGCAUGAAGCCCACACCAAGAUUCCGACAUGUAAUUGCUCAGACUUGAGGUUGCCCUGGAAUGUGGCAAGUGGGAUUGCUUCAACCCUUUGCCCCUGAGAAGCAGCUGGACUCAUCUUCACCACAUGAAAGCAUCUGCCAUUCUUCCGUCGAUCUGUGGCAGACACAGUGGUUGUGGCUACCUUGACAGCUAAGCCUGCUUGGAGCUUUCUAAUGGAGGCUCCGGUUCGUACCAUCUGUUCCUCAUCACCUAAAAUUGUGGUUGUUUUCCUGAAAGGCCAAAGAUGGCCAAUUUAUCCCGAAACUGAAAAUCAAUACGCCUCUAACCUUAUGUGGCCCAGAUUUUAGGAAUAACAUCCUGGCUUCAUUCGGAAAUGUUCCACCUUGCUUUAAUUCUUGGAAAAUAGGGAUCAUUCAAUAUUCCCCUCUCCAGAUGUCUUCAGCCAGCAUCCAGCAGUGAGCCAGAAGGCUGUGUGUUAGACAGGGUUGGAGACCGCAGGGCACUGUCCAAUCAUAUAUCCUGAUGCUCUUGUCAGAAGCCACACUGCAAAUGGCCAUGGGCUCACUAGGUCAAGCAAUGGUAGGCUCUCGCUGUGUAAAAUUUGGGAUUAUUUUCACUGCGGAAGACUUUAGGGUAGAAUUAGGGCAAGUGUUCUGGUGUUUAUGUAUGUGAAGGUUGGACAAAGAAAGUACUGGGUGAGCUUGUAAAUUCAAGGAAAUAAAACGACCCAACUUCCUUAUCUCUCCACAUGAUGUCCGAGUUGUAUAACAUGCCAUACAAUUUCAGGAAGACUUACUGCCUAACAACAGCUAUUAUUGGUGUCUUAAGUUUCCAUGAGGAC
rnacentral:sRNA from 1 species